AUAUCUCUCCGUACGGGAAGGAUGAGAAGCUUCGACCAAGGUUCGAUUCGAGCGCAGCGAGAACGCGUUGCCGCAGGCAACGACCCGAAGGGCGAAGC
rnacentral:sRNA from 1 species